ACGGGAGGCAGCAGUGAGGAAUAUUGGUCAAUGGGCGAGAGCCUGAACCAGCCAAGUAGCGUGCAGGAUGACGGCCCUACGGGUUGUAAACUGCUUUUGUGCGGGAAUAAAAAAGCCCACGCGUGGGUUCUUGCAUGUACCGCAACGAAUAAGGACCGGCUAAUUCCGUGCCAGCAGCCGCGGUAAUACGGAAGGUCCGAGCGUUAUCCGGAUUUAUUGGGUUUAAAGGGAGCGCAGGCGGAGAUGCAAGCCAGCCGUAAAAUCGUCGGGCUCAACCCGAUCUCGCGGUUGGAACUGCAUCCCUUGAGUGCGGGAGAGGAAGGCGGAACUCGUGGUGUAGCGGUGAAAUGCAUAGAUAUGGCGAAGAACUCCGAUUGCGUAGGCAGCUGACCAGGCCGUAAAUGACGCUCAUGCACGAAAGUGCGGGGAUCGAACAGGAUUAGAUACCCUGGUA
rnacentral:rRNA from 1 species